CCUAAUACAUGCAAGUAGAACGCUGAAGGAGGAGCUUGCUCUUCUGGAUGAGUUGCGAACGGGUGAGUAACGCGUAGGUAACCUGCCUGGUAGUGGGGGAUAACUAUUGGAAACGAUAGCUAAUACCGCAUAAUAACAGUUGUUGCAUGACAACUGUUUGAAAGGUGCAAUUGCAUCACUACCAGAUGGACCUGCGUUGUAUUAGCUAGUUGGUGGGGUAACGGCUCACCAAGGCGACGAUACAUAGCCGACCUGAGAGGGUGAUCGGCCACACUGGGACUGAGACACGGCCCAGACUCCUACGGGAGGCAGCAGUAGGGAAUCUUCGGCAAUGGACGAAAGUCUGACCGAGCAACGCCGCGUGAGUGAAGAAGGUUUUCGGAUCGUAAAGCUCUGUUGUAAGAGAAGAACGAGUGUGAGAGUGGAAAGUUCACACUGUGACGGUAUCUUACCAGAAAGGGACGGCUAACUACGUGCCAGCAGCCGCGGUAAUACGUAGGUCCCGAGCGUUGUCCGGAUUUAUUGGGCGUAAAGCGAGCGCAGGCGGUUAGAUAAGUCUGAAGUUAAAGGCUGUGGCUUAACCAUAGUACGCUUUGGAAACUGUUUAACUUGAGUGCAAGAGGGGAGAGUGGAAUUCCAUGUGUAGCGGUGAAAUGCGUAGAUAUAUGGAGGAACACCGGUGGCGAAAGCGGCUCUCUGGCUU
rnacentral:rRNA from 1 species